rnacentral:lncRNA from 1 species
GGUUUUCCAAGCCUCUCUCUCUUUUUUUUUUGAUGAGGACAAAACCAUGCCAAAGUGUGGUCUCAAUCUUAACCCUAAUAUUAUUUUUUUGCUUCUUUCUUGAUCUUAGAUCUCAUUGUGAACUUUAGGAACAUAUGAGCAUUGGUUUUUUGUCAUGGGUGGUGCUUUUUGUGGUUUAAAAGGCACCUCUUUGCAAUUAGUGGUCACGAAUCAUUUCACUUGAAGGGUCAAAAGGGUUUGAAGGGCCACGGAUUUUCUUCAAUCAUUCUAUGGUUUUUUUACGAUUUUUAAGUGAAGAUUUUUUAUCAC